GGACCCGCACAAGUAGUGGAGCAUGUGGUUUAAUUCGAAGAUACGCGCAGAACCUUACCAACACUUGACAUGUUCGUCGCGACUUUAAGAGAUUAAAGUUUUCGGUUCGGCCGGACGAAACACAGGUGCUGCAUGGCUGUCGUCAGCUCGUGUCGUGAGAUGUUGGGUUAAGUCCCGCAACGAGCGCAACCCUCACUUUUAGUUGCCAUCAUUUAGUUGGGCACUCUGAAAGAACUGCCAGUGAUAAGCUGGAGGAAGGUGGGGAUGACGUCAAGUCCUCAUGGCCCUUACGUGUUGGGCUACACACGUGCUACAAUGGCAUUUACAAUAGGAAGCAAGAUGGCGACGUCAAGCAAAUCCUAAAAAGAUGCCUCAGUUCGGAUUGUACUCUGCAACUCGAGUACAUGAAGGUGGAAUCGCUAGUAA
rnacentral:rRNA from 1 species